rnacentral:rRNA from 1 species
UACGUAGGUCCCGAGCGUUGUCCGGAUUUAUUGGGCGUAAAGCGAGCGCAGGUGGUUUAAUAAGUCUGAUGUAAAAGGCAGUGGCUCAACCAUUGUGUGCAUUGGAAACUGUUAGACUUGAGUGCAGUAGAGGAGAGUGGAAUUCCAUGUGUAGCGGUGAAAUGCGUAGAUAUAUGGAGGAACACCGGUGGCGACAGCGGCUCUCUGGACUGUAACUGACACUGAGGCUCGAAAGCGUGGGUAGCAAACAGG